ensembl:lncRNA novel transcript
UCUACCAGUGAUGGAUGAGAGUUGGUGCACAAAUACCCCAGCUCCCUUGCCUCUCAGUUUGGAUAAUCCUGAAAAGACCCAGCAAGAAAUGAUUCCAAGAUCACCUAGCUGAUCUCAUGCUCUAUCUGGAUUUGAGUGAAGAUAUACAUAUUCACCAAGUCUUGACUCAGUCACCUUUUGUGCAGGUUAUUUCUGGACACAGUAAUCCUUCAGCAAUACAAUUACCAAGUUAUUCAACAUGGAAGGCUUUGCCAAGACAGUGGUGGCUGGGAUUUGACCCUCUAAGUGUGAGCUUCAGUUCUACAUGUUGGAAUAGAUCAUCUGGACCCUCUGGAUUCUGGUCCUGUACUGACCUUCAAGCUGUCUCUUUCAGCUUUCUGUGCUGAGGCAGAAAAGAGGAAAGCUGGACCACACCCAGCCAGGACUACACGUGCAGGGUCAUCCAUUCCUUUAUUAGCAAAUAUUCAUGAAUGCCCACUAUGUGCAACACACGGUGCUUGGUGCAAGCAUACAGUGAUGAAUCAAGUAGAGAAGGCCCUGCCCUUAUGGAGCUUACAGCCUGGCUGUGAGCUGGCAAUACUGGGCCCACAUUUAUCAUGGCAUUCACAGCUGUUGCUAAGUAGAAGUUGACCCCUUCAUUUGUGUAAACAUCUUGGGAAUAGAGCAGUUGACUGGACAUCUCUCAUGUGCAGCAGCAGCAGGAAAAAGAACUUUGGACUUUAUCUGCGUUCAUCACCAUCCCUCAAAAACACAAGUAAUAGAAAAAGCUGAGAUAGAGUUACCCUGGGAGAAUCCAAGAAUAACUUUGGUAAGGCAUCACUUGGUGGGGAUACAAAGAUGGAAAGAGGAAGGCAAUAGAUUUUUGGAAAAGAAAAUAAACCUACAGUUAAAAGAAAAAAGAAAACAAUGAAAAUAG